rnacentral:rRNA from 1 species
GACGAACGCUGGCGGCGUGCUUAACACGUGCAAGUCGAACGGAAAGACCCUGCUUUUGUGGUGUGCUCGAGUGGCGAACGGGUGAGUAACACGUGAGUAACCUGCCCUUGACUUUGGGAUAACUUCAGGAAACUGGGGCUAAUACCGGAUAGGAGCUCCUGCUGCAUUGUGGGGGUUGGAAAGUUUCGGCUGUUGGGGAUGGACGCGCGGCUUAUCAGCUUGUUGGUGGGGUAGUGGCUUACCAACGCUUUGACGGGUAGCCGGCCUGAGAGGGUGACCGGCCACAUUGGGACUGAGAUACGGACCAGACUCCUACGGGAGGCAGCAGUGGCGAAUAUUGCACAAUGGGCGGAAGCCUGAUGCAGCGGCGCCGCGUGCGGGAUGCCGGCCUUCGGGUUGUAAACAGCUGUCGCCUAUGACGAAGCGUGAGUGACGGUAAUGAGUAAAGAAGCACCGGCUAACUACGUG